GAGUGAACGCUGGCGGCAGGCCUAACACAUGCAAGUCGAGCGGCAGCGCGGGGGCAACCCUGGCGGCGAGCGGCGGACGGGUGAGGAAUUCGUCGGAAUCUGCCUUUUUGUGGGGGAUAACGUAGGGAAACUUACGCUAAUACCGCAUACGUCCUACGGGAGAAAGUGGGGGACCGCAAGGCCUCACGCAGAAAGAUGAGCCGACGACCGAUUAGCUAGUUGGUGGGGUAAAGGCCCACCAAGGCGACGAUCGGUAGCUGGUCUGAGAGGAUGAUCAGCCACACUGGGACUGAGACACGGCCCAGACUCCUACGGGAGGCAGCAGUGGGGAAUAUUGGACAAUGGGCGCAAGCCUGAUCCAGCCAUGCCGCGUGUGUGAAGAAGGCCUUCGGGUUGUAAAGCACUUUUGUCCGGAAAGAAAUCCCUGGAGCUAAUACCUUCGGGGGAUGACGGUACCGGAAGAAUAAGCACCGGCUAACUUCGUG
rnacentral:rRNA from 1 species